UUACCGUAUUCUUGCUCACAAGCAAAGUUUACGUCAAAGAGAAAAACUCGAUGCGACUGUCAGAGAACCGCUCGAGGCGCGCGGGUAUCGGCUGUAUGGCCUCCGCGCGCCGAUGGUUAUUAUGUCGCGAUAAAUUUCCACGACGCUCCCGAUUCGUUCACAUACGCGAUUGCGCCUCGGCGGGGCCCCUAGUGGUGGGCCCCGUCGCACUGGCUUGCUUGAGCGGAACGAGUGACGGAGCAGGUGACUYUGGGAGAUGGCCCAAAACAGGGAUGGCCAGAUGAAGUGUCGGUAUCGGACGCAAACACCCAUAARAUCGCUGCGACAAACGCCCGCUCGACCAGUGCAUUGAUUCARAGCGCGGCGCGGAGUUUCGCCUUUCUUCGUGGUGAGCUGAUAGUAAUGCGGGUGGAGCGCCUAACAAGCGCUCCUCUCUCCGCGCCGACGCGACCCGGUGGUCGACUCAUACCGUCUAACCCAUGCCUCCACUCCGGUGGUGUAAAAGGCGACUUGAUGGAUGAUGGAGUUUAAAACCGCGCUGCGGCAGAGAGAAAAGAAAAAAAAUCUCUUUAGCGUGUCUCUUGGAGACGUCGCGACCAGAGAUGGGAUUUUUUUUUGUUUUCUUUCACGCCGCUAUGUGGACUCCCAAUUUCUUCGGAAGUAUUCCUCUCGAAUAUUUUUUCGUCGCCGCGCGGUUCGCCGCACUGGCCUCGAGAAAAAUAUUUAAAACAAAAA
rnacentral:misc_RNA from 1 species